AUUGAACGCUGGCGGCAUGCCUUACACAUGCAAGUCGAACGGUAACGGGCCUUCGGGUGCCGACGAGUGGCGAACGGGUGAGUAAUGCAUCGGAACGUACCUUUCAGUGGGGGAUAACGUAGCGAAAGUUACGCUAAUACCGCAUAUUCUGUGAGCAGGAAAGCAGGGGAUCGCAAGACCUUGCGCUGAUUGAGCGGCCGAUGUCAGAUUAGCUAGUUGGUGAGGUAAAGGCUCACCAAGGCGACGAUCUGUAGCGGGUCUGAGAGGAUGAUCCGCCACACUGGAACUGAGACACGGUCCAGACUCCUACGGGAGGCAGCAGUGGGGAAUUUUGGACAAUGGGGGCAACCCUGAUCCAGCCAUGCCGCGUGAGUGAAGAAGGCCUUCGGGUUGUAAAGCUCUUUCGGCCGGGAAGAAAUCGUAUGGGUUAAUACCCUGUGCGGAUGACGGUACCGGCAUAAGAAGCACCGGCUAACUACGUG
rnacentral:rRNA from 1 species